UACGGGGGGGGGUAAGCGUUGUUCGGAAUUACUGGGCGUAAAGGGCUCGUAGGCGGCCAACUAAGUCAUACGUGAAAUCCCUCAGCUUAACUGGGGAACUGCGUGUGAUACUGGAUGGCUUGGAUUUGGGAGAGGGAUGCGGAAUUCCAGGUGUAGCGGUGAAAAUGCGUAGAUAUCAGGAGGAACACCGGUGGCGAAGGCGGUUUCUCUGGGAAUGUCCUGACGCUGAGGAGCGAAAGUGUGGGGAGCGAACAGG
rnacentral:rRNA from 1 species